CCUACGGGAGGCAGCAGUGGGGAAUAUUGGGCAAUGGGCGAAAGCCUGACCCAGCCACGCCGCGUGAAGGAAGAAGGCUCUCGGGUUUUAAACUUCCUUUGACAGGGAAGAGCACAAGACGGUGUCUGUCGAAGAAGCCACUGCUAACUACGUGCCAGCAGGCGCGAUAAUACGGAGGUGGCAAGCGUUGUCCGGAUUUACUGGGUGUAAAGGGCGUGUAUCCGGGCUGACAAGUCAGAUGUGAAAUUCGGGGGCUCAACCCCCGAACUGCAUUUGAAACUGGUGGUCUUGAGUAUGGGAGAGGCAGGCGGAAUGCCUAGUGUAGCGGUGAAAUGCGUAGAUAUUAGGAGGAACACCAGUGGCGAAGGCGGCCUGCUGGACGACAACUGACGGUGAGGCGCGAAAGCGUGGGGAGCAAACAGGAUUAGAUACCCCGGUAGUC
rnacentral:rRNA from 1 species